GGGCAGAAUACAAUACAGGGCAUUGUCUUGUAAUUGGAAUGAUGGUGACGUAAAAUCUCACCAGAGUAACAAUUGGAGGGCAAGUCUGGUGCCAGCAGCCGCGGUAAUUCCAGCUCCAAUAGCGUAUAUUAAACUUGUUGCAGUUAAAAAGCUCGUAGUUGAAUUUCUGCGUUGCCCGACUCGGCUACUUGCCUUGUCUGGUUUCGCUUUUGGGGUUUUCCCCUUUUUACUUUGAGAAAAUUAGAGUGUUUCAAGCAGACUUGUGUCUUGAAUACUUCAGCAUGGAAUAAUAAAGUAGGACUUUGGUUCUAUUUUGUUGGUUUGUGAACCUUAGUAAUGGUUAAUAGGAACGGUUGGGGGCAUUCGUAUUUAAA
rnacentral:rRNA from 1 species